rnacentral:rRNA from 1 species
GACGAACGCUGGCGGCGUGCUUAACACAUGCAAGUCGAACGGAAAGGCCCUGCUUUUGUGUGGUGCUCGAGUGGCGAACGUGUGAGUAACACGUGAGUAACCUGCCCUUGACUUUGGGAUAACUUCAGGAAACUGGUGCUAAUAACGGAUAGGAGCUCCUUCUGCAUGGUGGGGGUUGGAAAGUUUCGGCGGUUGGGGAUGGACUCGCGGCGUAUCAGCUUGUUGGUGGGGUAGUGGCUUACCAAGGCGUUGACGGGUAGCCGGCCUGAGAGGGUGACCGGCCACACUGGGACUGAGAUACGGCCCAGACUCCUACGGGAGGCAGCAGUGGGGAAUAUUGCACAAUGGGCGGAAGCCUGAUGCAGCAACGCCGCGUGCGGGAUGACGGCCUUCGGGUUGUAAACCGCUUUCGCCUGUGACGAAGCGUGAGUGACGGUAAUGGGUAAAGAAGCACCGGCUAACUACGUG